rnacentral:tRNA from 1 species
GUCCGGGUGGCGGAAUAGGCAGACGCGCUAGCUUGAGGUGCUAGUGCCCUCUAAGGGCAUGGGGGUUCAAGUCCCCCCUCGGACA